rnacentral:rRNA from 1 species
CCCAGACUCCUACGGGAGGCAGCAGUGAGGAAUAUUGGUCAAUGGCCGGAGGGCUGAACCAGCCAAGCCGCGUGAGGGAGGAAGGCGCAGAGCGUCGCAGACCUCUUUUGCCGGGGGACAAAAGGCCGGACUCGUCCGGUCCUGAGGGUACCCGGAGAAAAAGCAUCGGCUAACUACGUGCCAGCAGCCGCGGUAAUACGUAGGGGGCAAGCGUUAUCCGGAUUUACUGGGUGUAAAGGGAGCGUAGACGGCAUGGCAAGUCAGAUGUGAAAGCCCGGGGCUCAACCCCAGGACUGCAUUUGAAACUGUCAGGCUGGAGUGCAGGAGAGGUAAGUGGAAUUCCUAGUGUAGCGGUGAAAUGCGUAGAUAUUAGGAGGAACACCAGUGGCGAAGGCGGCUUACUGGACUGUAACUGACGUUGAGGCUCGAAAGCGUGGGGAGCAAACAGGAUUAGAUACCCGCGUA